GACGAAGGUGGCAAGCGUUGCUCGGAAUCACUGGGCAUAAAGCGCGCGUAGGUGGCCCGAUUAGUCGGCGGUGAAAUCCCAUCGCUCAACGAUGGAACUGCCGCCGAUACUGUCGGGCUUGAGGACGGUAGGGGAGAGUGGAACUCCUGGUGUAGCGGUGAAAUGCGUAGAUAUCAGGAGGAACGCCGGUGGCGAAAGCGACUCUCUGGGCCGCUCCUGACACUGAUGCGCGAGAGCUAGGGGAGCAAACAGG
rnacentral:rRNA from 1 species